CUUAAUUUUGAUGAUAUUAAUAAAUCUACGGGGAAGGGGAUGACUACGGCAAAGGCCAGCUGUACAUUUUCUUUGAGACAACCUGUACACACAUUCCAUUGGAUCUUUUCAAUUCCCAUCGUAUUAAGAAAUUUUCUAGUAGAAGCCUGAAGAAGAGGGAGAGGGUAGCGAAGGGAACAGGGACAAAUCGUUGCAUAAUGGUCAAAAGAAAUCGCGAAGGGAUAUAGGAACGAAGAAGUAGGGAAAAAGCAAAGGUGAAGAAGAAGAGAACUGGAAGAAGG